AUCUCAGGUUCGUCAGCCCGCA
rnacentral:miRNA from 1 species